AGUGAACGCUGGCGGUAGGCCUAACACAUGCAAGUCGAACGGCAGCACAGUAAGAGCUUGCUCUUACGGGUGGCGAGUGGCGGACGGGUGAGGAAUACAUCGGAAUCUACUUUUUCGUGGGGGAUAACGUAGGGAAACUUACGCUAAUACCGCAUACGACCUACGAGUGAAAGCAGGGGAUCUUCGGACCUUGCGCGAUUGAAUGAGCCGAUGUCGGAUUAGCUAGUUGGCGGGGUAAAGGCCCACCAAGGCGACGAUCCGUAGCUGGUCUGAGAGGAUGAUCAGCCACACUGGAACUGAGACACGGUCCAGACUCAUACGGGAGGCAGCAGUGGGGAAUAUUGGACAAUGGGCGCAAGCCUGAUCCAGCCAUACCGCGUGGGUGAAGAAGGCCUUCGGGUUGUAAAGCCCUUUUGUUGGGAAAGAAAAGCAGCAGGUUAAUACCCCGCUGUUCUGACGGUACCCAAAGAAUAAGCACCGGCUAACUUC
rnacentral:rRNA from 1 species